UACGUAGGGACCAAGCGUUGUUCGGAUUUACUGGGCGUAAAGGGCGCGUAGGCGGCGUGUUAAGUCAGCUGUGAAAUCUCCAAGCUUAACUUGGAACGGUCAGCUGAUACUGAUGUGCUAGAGUGCAGAAGGGGCAAUCGGAAUUCUUGGUGUAGCGGUGGAAUGCGUAGAGAUCCGGAAGAACACCGGUGGCGAAGGCGGUCUGCUGGGCCAAGACGGACGCUGAGGCGCGACAGCGUGGGGAGCAAACAGG
rnacentral:rRNA from 1 species